rnacentral:lncRNA from 1 species
UUGUGUUGGGGAAGAUCUCGGAGUGGAAGAAAGAGAAAGCCACCAGCCUGACACACCCAGAAAAGGCGAGCCUAGCCCUCUCUGGAAGACAUGGCAGCCCAGUCGACCUUUGACCUUCCCAUUUUUAAUGUGCUCAUUUUCUACAAACCUGAGGGUCCCUGAUUGAACUGUUUGUAACAUUGAAGCUCAAUUUUAAAUCAUGUUUUUUCUGAAGGAGAAAGUUCCUUCAUCAAUGAAUGAGCCUAGCUGACAACCCAGGAUCCACCUGUCACCACAGACUAUGAGUUGCAUGAGGACAGGAGCGCCAUAUUGUCUAGCUCAGCAUCUCUCCCUCUUCCUCAAAUGCAUAGAGCAGUUCUAACAUCUAAUGUGCAUCAUAAGCACUCAGAAAAUGCUCUUUUACCUAUCUUCCUUUUGGAUAUUGCUAGAGGAGAAAG